rnacentral:misc_RNA from 1 species
AGUUUUAGGGUUUGUAAAACUCUUGAACCAGAUAAUGUUUUUCUCUCUCCUGAACUUCGUGUGUUGGUUGAAAAUUUGUAUCCCUUGAUUGUGGGCAAGCAUAUAUCCUGGAUGAUGCAUGGGUAGAUACUACUGGAGGAACUAUUUUGAAGCUGUGUUCUUUUUUCCCUUAACGUUUUCAGUUGAGCUUAGAAGAGGAUUACCCCUCUCUCUCUAACAGAAAGGGUAAAAAUAUCCUUGUUUUUAAUGUUUCUGUAAAAUAUUUUUUAGAUUAACUUGAAGCAAACUGUUAUCUGUGGUUUGCUU